rnacentral:piRNA from 1 species
UGAUAGGUUCUACACGUGCCU